rnacentral:lncRNA from 1 species
GUGAUGGGCAAGUCCAAUCCUAGACUUUCUGUGGUCAGUCCCAUAUUCCCAACAGAAGAGGUUGGAGAGAGAGGGUCCCCAGUCCAAGAGGGCAGGAGAAGCAAUGAGCUUGCAGGAGAAUGUCACCGUGGCCAUGGCAGUGAUCACCAUCUUUGCCUCCAUUUACUUCUUCCACAAGGCCCAGAAAUGAGAAGACCUUGGGACCCUUAGACAUGAAGACCACACUUCUGCCUUGAAUAACCACUCUGGCCUCUUGGACUAAAUAAAUGUGACGGGCCUAUCCCGCCUGCUUCCUGCACUCCUUUCCUUAUAGACUUAUCCCCCCCCCCCCCCCCAAGCUUCCCCUGAGAAGUGUGUGUACCUGUGUGUAUGUGUAUAUGGGGGGUGAGUUGGUGGGGAUUUGAGGGAAAGUAUCCCAAGGGGAUCUGGAGAUAAGGUCCCUUAGCCCGGAUCCUUGGGGGUGGAGGUGGGGUGGUGCAUUCAGAAAGGGUAAGAACUUGGAUCCAGGUAGCAGACACCCAGGUGUCAAAAAGUCAUGGUUAAUGCUAUAUUUAAUUUUCUUGAACUAUUGCUGUCCCCCUGUGGCCAUUCAGGGUAUGUAGCCAAUAUCUCCUUGGUCAUUGGGAGGAGGGAGAAAAAGGGAAACACACACACACACACACACACACACACACACACACACAUACAAAGGGAGGCAAAGAGCAGAUGAAAUACAGAGUGGAGAGGGGCUACGACCCCCCUUCCCCCAAUGGUGAA